rnacentral:tRNA from 1 species
GCAGUCGUGGCCGAGUGGUUAAGGCGAUGGACUUGAAAUCCAUUGGGAUAUUUCCGCGUAAGUUCGAUUCCUACCGACUGCG